rnacentral:rRNA from 1 species
AUGUUCAGCGUCCAGUCCCCCCGCCCACUGAGGGCUCGCGGCGGCGAUGCGGCGGUGGAACAGGACAGGGAACUCCGCCACGAGAGCAAGGUGGGGAGGGUGCGGACGCGCGCCAAGCUGCGGGAGGCGGAGAGGUCGAGGAAGGAGAACGAGGAGCGGGAGCGGCUAGAUGCGGAGGAGGCCGACUACCGCCGUGUUUGGGCAAAAGGCAAUGAACUCUUCUACACCAGAAGAUAUCAGGAAGCAGCAGCUCACUAUACCGAAGCUGUGAACAAGAAUCCAAAUGAACCCGCGGUGUUUAGAAACAGAGCUCAAUGUCACAUCUUUCUGGGAGCUCUGCCCCAAGGUCUGGAAGAUGCAGAAAAAUGUAUUGAGCUGGAUCCUACUUAUUUGAUGGGUUAUCUCUGUAAAGCGAAGGUUCAAGCCCUGAUGCAGAAUUAUGAAAGUGCUAUGGCAACAUACAUAGAGGGUUUGAAGCGUGAUCCAAACAGUACUAUCAUAAUUGAUGGCUUUAAGAGAUGUGUGACAUGCAUUGAGAAGUCUAAAGGCGGUGACGUUGGGCUUGUGGAUUUAGAAGACAUUUUGAGAGAUUGGCAUUCAGACAUUUAUUUGUCUAAUGAACUUAAAAAGUACAUGGAAGAAGUUGCAGUAUUCAAGAAAGAAGCUUCUGAUGAGCGCUUGAGGUGGAUUGAAUCUGAACAAACAGCCAGGACAUCAGAGGCAAAUCAGGUGCAACGACAUAAAGAUGCUGAGGAGCAUCUUUCCAAAAUACAACAAGAGUUGCAACAAGUUAAAGCACGACAGGAUGAGGUUGCUAAUGAGCUACAAAAAGCUAAUAAGCAUAAUGAACAUGCUCAAAAUCAGCUUUUGGAAUCAAAAAAGUUCCAUAGUGAGGAACUUCAGAAGGCCAAUGAGCAUAGUUUGGAUCUGCAACAUCAGCUCACUGAAUCCAAAGAGCGGUAUAAUCAGCUUCAGUCCAAGCAUGACGUCUUGCUAAAGGAAAGAGAUGCUGCACUCGAAGAGGUAGAAAAGUUACACCGGAGAAGUACAGCGAUGCCCUGCCAGUUUUCAUUAGCUGAACUAGAACGUGCAACAGAAAAUUUCAGUACUUCAACGAAGUUCAGAGAAUGUGGGGUUGCCUCUGUGUACCGAGGUGUCCUCCGGAACAUGACAGUUGCAGUAAAGGUGCUGAGACACGAUGGUCAAGGACCCUUUCAGUUUGAACAAGAGGUUGCUAUCCAUAGUAGAGUGAGACACCCCAACCUAGUAACUCUGCUAGGAGCAUGCACAGAGUUAUUGACGCUUGUCUAUGAGUUCUUACCAAAUGGUAGUCUUGAAGAUUUUCUUUCAUGUGAGGAUAAGAGGCGAACUCUGACGUGGCAGAUCCGCAUCCGUAUUAUUGCUGAGAUAUGUUCAGCUCUGAUCUUUCUUCACGAGAACAGACCUGAACCAAUUGUACAUGGCGAUCUUCAUCCUGCCAAUAUUCUUCUUGAUGCCAACUUAGUCACUAAGCUUAGUGACUUUGGCAUUUUUCAUUUGCUAAUCCAGUCCAACAGCAAUAGCACCAACCAUCCUGUGGAGGCCCCUAUAUACGUGGACCCAGAAUGUCUUGCCACUCGCAAGAUGACACCUCACUCCGAUGUUUAUUCUUUUGGAAUGGUAGUCCUGCGCCUUUUAACUGGAAAGCCUCCUCUUGGUAUAAAGAAGAUUGUGGAGGAUGCUAUGGAGCAAGGUGACCUCAAUUCUGUAGUUGAUACCUCAGCCGGAGAGUGGCCUGAUGUGCACAUCCAGCAGUUAGCACACAUUGCUCUCAGUUGCACUGAGCAAAACAGCAGGUACCGUCCUGUUCUUUCAGGCCAGCUCUGGACAGCAGUUGAGACCAUGAGGGAUGUUGCAAUGUUAUCUUCACAGUCAUCUUCAAGUUUGGUGCCAGAGGAAAGCAUCAUACCGUCACACUUCACCUGUUCUAUAUCUCAUGAAAUCAUGAAGGAUCCUCAGUUGACAGCGGAUGGAAUCACCUACGAAGGUAAUUCUAUCCGGGAAUGGUUUGGUAGAGGCAAAAUCACAUCGCCGUUCACCAACUUGCCACUUCAACACCAGGAGCUCAUCCCCAAUAUCGCUCUCCGUUCUGCCAUUCAGGAAUGGCUCCAACAGCACAGCAUGGUGCUGUAA